rnacentral:rRNA from 1 species
UGGGGAAUCUUGCACAAUAGGCGAAAGCCUGAUGCAGCGACGCCGCGUGCGGGAUGAAGGCCUUCGGGUUGUAAACCGCUUUCAGCAGGGACGAGGCCGCAAGGUGACGGUACCUGCAGAAGAAGCCCCGGCUAACUACGUGCCAGCAGCCGCGGUAAUACGUAGGGGGCAAGCGUUAUCCGGAUUCAUUGGGCGUAAAGCGCGCGUAGGCGGUUUGUUAGGUCAGGAGUUAAAUCUGGGGGCUCAACCCCUAUCCGCUCCUGAUACCGGCAGGCUUGAGUCUGGUAGGGGAAGGCGGAAUUCCAAGUGUAGCGGUGAAAUGCGCAGAUAUUUGGAAGAACACCGGUGGCGAAGGCGGCCUUCUGGGCCACGACUGACGCUGAGGCGCGAAAGCUAGGGGAGCGAACAGG